CAAGACCUAGUGACCCUAAGGUUUCUUCUGUGGGACUAGAUUUUGUGCACUAGCACUUUGAGAAUUGUGCUGUCUUCAUACGAUGCUACAUUGCACCAGAAUGAUUUUCAUUUUGUUGGCUGGUUGUAUGAAGUGUAUAUUUCUUUAAAUAUAUUCAGUAAUGAAUAGUAUUUGUAUCAUCCAUUUUCUUUUGGAAGAAGAGAUUACAAUUUAAAUAUGAGUUAUGCCAGACCACAAAUAUUCUAUUGUCUUAAAAUUUUUAAUUUUGUAAAAAAAAUUCAGUAUGUAUUUGAGUAAUUAUCCUUUCUCAGAUAUCAGAAAUUUGGCAUAUUAAGACUUCUGUUCUUGUUAGCUGAUUUGUUUCAGUCCAUAUUAAUAGUUUUACACAGGGUUUGUAGAGAAAACUUGCAAGAAGUUUCUGGAUCUCAUGCUCAUUUUGAAAGAGAACAUACAUAGAAGAGAACAAAUGAAUUUUCAGACUGCAUCCAGAAAAUAGAGAUGUUCAAUCUUCUGGAGAAAUGAUUUCACACAUGAGAGAAAACUUGCUUUCCUGACAUAUAUGGCCAGUUAGAUGUAAAGGAUCUUUGUUUCAAGACUUAAUUUCCUGGAACACAACUCUUGGGCAAUCCUAGUAGGACACACUAUUUACAAACCAGUCUUUGAAAGCAUCUGAGGAGUGCGGAGGAGGAGGAGGAGGAGAAGAGGAGGAGAGAAAGAUAGAAAGAGAGAGAGA